rnacentral:rRNA from 1 species
GAACGGAGCACCCCUGAAGGAGUUUUCGGACAACGGAAGGGAAUGCUUAGUGGCGGACUGGUGAGUAACGCGUGAGGAACCUGCCUUUCGGAGGGGGACAACAGUUGGAAACGACUGCUAAUACCGCAUGACGUAUCGGGAUCGCAUGGUCUUGAUACCAAAGAUUUUAUCGCCGAAAGAUGGCCUCGCGUCUGAUUAGCUAGUUGGUGGGGUAACGGCCUACCAAGGCGACGAUCAGUAGCCGGACUGAGAGGUUGGCCGGCCACAUUGGGACUGAGAUACGGCCCAGACUCCUACGGGAGGCAGCAGUGGGGAAUAUUGGGCAAUGGACGCAAGUCUGACCCAGCAACGCCGCGUGAAGGAAGAAGGCUUUCGGGUUGUAAACUUCUUUUAAGGGGGAAGAGCAGAAGACGGUACCCCUUGAAUAAGCCACGGCUAACUACGUGCCAGCAGCCGCGGUAAUACGUAGGUGGCAAGCGUUGUCCGGAUUUACUGGGUGU